rnacentral:rRNA from 1 species
AUACGUACGACGGAGCUAAUACCGGAUAAUAUUUCGAACCGCAUGGUUCGAUAGUGAAAGAUGGUUUUGCUAUCACUUAUAGAUGGACCCGCGCCGUAUUAGCUAGUUGGUAAGGUAACGGCUUACCAAGGCGACGAUACGUAGCCGACCUGAGAGGGUGAUCGGCCACACUGGAACUGAGACACGGUCCAGACUCCUACGGGAGGCAGCAGA